CGCCCUGCGAGCCGGGUCUGCCGUUGCCGGUUUCUCCUUGUAUGCACCUGUCUUUGCUGUCUUGUAUCCCUGCUGUUCUGUUUUCACUGCUCUCCUCCCCCUUUUCUUUCCGUCGACUCUGUUUUCUUCUCUUACUUCUUCGUCCUCCCUUCUUUCCCUUUAUCACCCCUCCUUUUUCUUCUUUCACUAAAUCCAGUCCCCAAACACCAUGGCUGUUUAUUAGCCAUCUCUCCCCCAAACCUGUUACAUUCUCAGUAUAACGUCUCCCAAAUUACUGCUGCAAACUCAAAUGUUGCCGGGACUCUCGCAAGUCCCCCGAGUCAGGCCUUGUCCGUCACACCUUGCCACCUGGAGGCUCCUGGGCCUGGGCCCAAUCACAAGCCAACCCCCCUUUCUCCCCAUGCCCCACAGGUGCUGUGGGGCUGGGUCCAGGUGGAUGCUGUGCCGAAUCGGGUUUGCACCGCAGCGGGAAUCCCAGAUGUUAAUGGGGCUGCGAGCAAGCCUGCCAGGAGGGAGUCGUUGUGUCGAUUACACUGGUCAGCAGACAGGUCCUCCUUCUGUCCUGAAGGGAGCCAGGAUCUCAUUCUUCCAAGGUCAUCUGCUCUACAAACAUCCCUGAAAAGAUGGUCAGGAACAAAAGUCAGUGCCCCUGCUUCCAAGAUCUGCAGAAGCACAAGAGACCCAUGGAAAAUGACCUUCCAACAAAAAUUAGGUAAAAAGUAAACGUUUUUUUCUGGAUGAUAAAAUAAAUGAUAAUUCACAAAUUUAAAAGAGCUGACAAAUGCUCUGAACAAAAUUUCAAAACUUGGUAUUUUCAUUCAUUAAUUGCCUGAAUCACGUCUGUAAUUUUUUUACAUUUAUUGACUGCAUACAUCUGAUUAUAAUACUUUUGUAAUAUCGCUUACAGAGAGAAUUGAAAGGCAGUCUUUCCUCUGGCAUGGUUGAUUGGAAUUUUUAAAUUUUUGUUAUUGGUAGCUGGAAUGCGUAAAAAACAUGUGACUUCAUAUCCAGAAAUAUUCUCUUUGUGAUUCUGCUAUAGGCUUAUGUCCUGCAAACACAGGAAUCCUAAUCGAAACCAGUUUCAUUAAAAAAGGAAACAAAAUGUA